AGAGUUUGAUCCUGGCUCAGGACGAACGCUGGCGGCGCGCCUAACACAUGCAAGUCGAACGAGCGAGAGAGAGCUUGCUUUCUCGAGCGAGUGGCGAACGGGUGAGUAACGCGUGAGGAACCUGCCUCAAAGAGGGGGACAACAGUUGGAAACGACUGCUAAUACCGCAUAAGCCCACGGUGCCGCAUGGCACAGAGGGAAAAGGAGCAAUCCGCUUUGAGAUGGCCUCGCGUCCGAUUAGCUAGUUGGUGAGGUAAUGGCCCACCAAGGCGACGAUCGGUAGCCGGACUGAGAGGUUGAACGGCCACAUUGGGACUGAGACACGGCCCAGACUCCUACGGGAGGCAGCAGUGGGGAAUAUUGCACAAUGGGGGAAACCCUGAUGCAGCGACGCCGCGUGGAGGAAGAAGGUCUUCGGAUUGUAAACUCCUGUUGUUGGGGAAGAUAAUGACGGUACCCAACAAGGAAGUGACGGCUAACUACGUGCCAGCAGCCGCGGUAAAACGUAGGUCACAAGCGUUGUCCGGAAUUACUGGGUGUAAAGGGAGCGCAGGCGGGAAGACAAGUUGGAAGUGAAAUCUAUGGGCUCAACCCAUAAACUGCUUUCAAAACUGUUUUUCUUGAGUAGUGCAGAGGUAGGCGGAAUUCCCGGUGUAGCGGUGGAAUGCGUAGAUAUCGGGAGGAACACCAGUGGCGAAGGCGGCCUACUGGGCACCAACUGACGCUGAGGCUCGAAAGUGUGGGUAGCAAACAGGAUUAGAUACCCUGGUAGUCCACACCGUAAACGAUGAUUACUAGGUGUUGGAGGAUUGACCCCUUCAGUGCCGCAGUUAACACAAUAAGUAAUCCACCUGGGGAGUACGACCGCAAGGUUGAAACUCAAAGGAAUUGACGGGGGCCCGCACAAGCAGUGGAGUAUGUGGUUUAAUUCGACGCAACGCGAAGAACCUUACCAAGUCUUGACAUCCCUUGACAGGCAUAGAAAUAUGUUUUCUCUUCGGAGCAAGGAGACAGGUGGUGCAUGGUUGUCGUCAGCUCGUGUCGUGAGAUGUUGGGUUAAGU
rnacentral:rRNA from 1 species